GACGAACGCUGGCGGCGUGCUUAACACAUGCAAGUCGAACGGAAAGGCCCUGCUUGCUGGGUACUCGAGUGGCGAACGGGUGAGUAACACGGGGGUGCUCUGCCCUGCACUUCUGGAUAAGCUUGGGAGACUGGGUCUAAUACCGGAUAGGAGCCAUCUUCAGCGUGGGGGUUGGAAAGUUUUUUCGGUGUAGGAUGAGCUAGCGGCCUAUCAGCGUGUUGGUGGGGUAAUGGCCUACCAAGGCGGCGACGGGUAGCCGGCCUGAGAGGAUGUACGGACACAUUAGGACUGAGCUACAGCCCAGAGUCCGGAAGGAGGCAGCAGGGGGGAAUGUUGGAUCCUGCGCGCACGCCUGAUGCAGGGAGGCCGCGUGGGGGAUGAAGGCCUUUGGGUUGUAAGCUCCUCUCGCUAGGGACGAAGCGUUGUUGUGACGGUACCUAGAGAAGAAGCACCGGCUAACUACGUG
rnacentral:rRNA from 1 species